UACGAAGGGGGCUAGCGUUGCUCGGAAUCACUGGGCGUAAAGCGCACGUAGGCGGAUUGUUAAGUCAGGGGGGAAAUCCUGGAGCUCAACUCCAGAACUGCCUUUGAUACUGAAGAUCUUGAGUUCGGGAGAGGUGAGUGGAACUGCGAGUGUAGAGGUGAAAUUCGUAGAUAUUCGCAAGAACACCAGUGGCGAAGGCGGCUCACUGGCCCGAUACUGACGCUGAGGCACGAAAGCGUGGGGAGCAAACAGG
rnacentral:rRNA from 1 species